rnacentral:tRNA from 1 species
AGCAUAAAAAAAUCUAUGUUUCGGCCAUAGAAAGGAUAAUAAUAAAUUAUCUUAUGCUU